rnacentral:rRNA from 1 species
UUAUUCCUACGGGAGGCAGCAGUAGGGAAUCUUCCACAAUGGACGAAAGUCUGAUGGAGCAACGCCGCGUGAGUGAAGAAGGGCUUCGGCUCGUAAAACUCUGUUGGUAGAGAAGAAAGACAGAGGUAGUAACUGGUCUCUAUUUGACGGUAAUUAACUAGAAAGUCACGGCUAACUACGUGCCAGCAGCCGCGGUAAUACGUAGGUGGCAAGCGUUGUCCGGAUUUAUUGGGCGUAAAGGGAGUGCAGGCGGUUUU